rnacentral:rRNA from 1 species
UCGAGAAUCUUCCGCAAUGGACGAAAGUCUGACGGAGCGACGCCGCGUGCGGGAUGAAGGCCCUUGGGUUGUAAACCGCUGUCAGAGGGGAUGAAAUCUUCGGAGGUACUCCUCCGAAGUUGACAGAGCCUCAAAGGAAGCACGGGCUAAGUACGUGCCAGCAGCCGCGGUAACACGUACUGUGCGAACGUUAUUCGGAAUCACUGGGCUUAAAGGGUGCGUAGGCGGCGAUUCAAGUCAGAUGUGAAAUGCCUGAGCUCAACUGAGGCAUUGCGUUUGAAACUGAACCGCUAGAGUAUUUCAGGGGUGUGCGGAACUGCCAGUGGAACGGUGAAAUGUGUUGAUAUUGGCAGGAACACCGGAGGCGAAAGCGGCACACUGGGGAAUAACUGACGCUGAGGCACGAAAGCCAAGGGAGCGAACGGGAUUAGAUACCCUCGUAGUCCCUGAGCGGGCUGGCAAGGCGCAU